rnacentral:rRNA from 1 species
CACUCCUGCGGGAGGCAGCAGUGGGGAAUAUUGGACAAUGGGCGCAAGCCUGAUCCAGCCCUGCCGCGUGAGUGAUGAAGGCCCUAGGGUUGUAUAGCUCUUUCACCGGUGAAGAUAAUGACGGUAACCGGAGAAGAAGCCCCGGCUAACUUCGUGCCAGCAGCCGCGGUAAUACGAAGGGGGCUAGCGUUGUUCGGAUUUACUGGGCGUAAAGCGCACGUAGGCGGACUAUUAAGUCAGGGGUGAAAUCCCGGGGCUCAACCCCGGAACUGCCUUUGAUACUGGUAGUCUUGAGUUCGAGAGAGGUGAGUGGAAUUCCGAGUGUAGAGGUGAAAUUCGUAGAUAUUCGGAGGAACACCAGUGGCGAAGGCGGCUCACUGGCUCGAUACUGACGCUGAGGUGCGAAAGCGUGGGGAGCAAACAGGAUUAGAUACCCGUGUAGUCCCAU